rnacentral:lncRNA from 1 species
GGAAAGGAGAGACGAGACAGCUUUUUAGUACAACACAGGAACAGAAGGACUGACAAACCCAGAAAUAUGUGUAGAUGAAUAAUUGAAGCCGCUGAAUUGCGACAUGACUAUUGUUGCACUCCUGGUUUUGCAUUGAUAAUGCGACUUCUGGCAGAGGAGAGUUCAGGAUUUCCCAUCCCAGGAGAUGAGGAAAAGCCUUGACUGACCCUGCUUGGAGACCUGGAGAUAUUCCUUCAUUCCUGUUUAACAUCUCUUCUCUAAACAAGCUGAAGAGGUAUGGACACGGUGAAAUAAAAGACAAUUGAACCUAUAGAUGUGAGGACCAAUCAGGCAUCUCAGAAAAACAGCAACGCAGUACCACUGUGGUGACAGUGUGUGCAAUUCCCCCACGAAGACGGCAGGAAUCUCGAAGUUGCCAUGAAAAAUUGAUGACGACAGGCAUGUUUGGGAAGCACACACAACUGUCACAUCUCCAGCGCACUGGAAAUACAACAACAAGGACUGACUUCCCCCAACGUCGCAGAACAAAUCUGCAUCAGAGUUUACAGGAGGGAGCAGGACUGCUUCUGGCAGAGAAGGACCACUAA